AGAGUUUGAUCCUGGCUCAGAACGAACGCUGGCGGCAGGCCUAACACAUGCAAGUCGAGCGCGCCCUUUCGGGGUGAGCGGCGGACGGGUUAGUAACGCGUGGGAACGUGCCCAGAUCUAAGGAAUAGCCACUGGAAACGGUGAGUAAUACCUUAUACGCCCUUCGGGGGAAAGAUUUAUCGGAUUUGGAUCGGCCCGCGUUAGAUUAGAUAGUUGGUGGGGUAAUGGCCUACCAAGUCUACGAUCUAUAGCUGGUUUUAGAGGAUGAUCAGCAACACUGGGACUGAGACACGGCCCAGACCCCUACGGGAGGCAGCAGUGGGGAAUCUUGGACAAUGGGGGCAACCCUGAUCCAGCCAUGCCGCGUGAGUGAUGAAGGCCUUAGGGUCGUAAAGCUCUUUCGCCAGGGAUGAUAAUGACAGUACCUGGUAAAGAAACCCCGGCUAACUCCGUGCCAGCAGCCGCGGUAAUACGGAGGGGGUUAGCGUUGUUCGGAAUUACUGGGCGUAAAGCGCGCGUAGGCGGACUGGAAAGUUGGGGGUGAAAUCCCGGGGCUCAACCCCGGAACUGCCUCCAAAACUAUCAGUCUAGAGUUCGAGAGAGGUGAGUGGAAUUCCGAGUGUAGAGGUGAAAUUCGUAGAUAUUCGGAGGAACACCAGUGGCGAAGGCGGCUCACUGGCUCGAUACUGACGCUGAGGUGCGAAAGUGUGGGGAGCAAACAGGAUUAGAUACCCUGGUAGUCCACACCGUAAACGAUGAAUGCCAGUCGUCGGGUAGUAUACUGUUCGGUGACACACCUAACGGAUUAAGCAUUCCGCCUGGGGAGUACGGUCGCAAGAUUAAAACUCAAAGGAAUUGACGG
rnacentral:rRNA from 1 species